AGGUCAGUGCUGCCUGCCCCAGAGCAGGAAAACAGUGUAAUAUAUGACAUAUAACCAUGCUUAACAUUAAUGCAAAACCCAUGAGAACAAAAGAUGCAUCUUUUAAAUCAGCCUAGUAACUGCUUAAACUUUUAAAGUCCUCAAAGUGAUGGACAACUUCUCCCAGAGUAGAUAUGGUCACUAGCAAGCUUGCUGUGGUAUGUGCCCACAUCACGCCCUUACAAAUGCCAUAUCGAUCUUCAAGCUGACCCCUGUUGACACAUGCCAAAAAGCCAUUCCACCUCUGCUUCAAGAGGGUCACGUGACAGCGGCGUGGGUCAUGGAGAUGGAUAAAGGUAGACCAACAGCAGGAAGUGACUGAGGAGAAGGACCAUUGUGGAAGCCUGAGGAUGGGGAAUCCAGGAACCCCCCACAGGGCGCCAAGCUUGCUCCUCUUGCUUCCGCGCUUCAAUGCCAGCCCAACUCAGCGCCAGCCCAAUGGCCGCCAUGGUCUUCUCGUUGUAUUACCAAUAUGCAAUCUUUUUUAUUGUUGAAAAAAAGUAAUAAUCUCAAGAAAUAAUAUGGGGAGAGACUGAGUGUAAACCCAUGAACUUUUUUCCAAAUGUCUAUUUUUUUGGAGAGUCCCUUUGGAACUGCAAGCAGGCUUGAAAUAAAGUGAAUCAGAGUGGCCGAGACAGCAGCUGUGGCGGCGCAUAACUAUACUCCCAGCACGCGGAGGUAGAAACAGAAAGAUCUAACCCUGAGCUACAUACGGAGUUCUAGUCCUGCCAGAGCUAAACAACAGAACCCUGUCUCAAAAGCGAAGUGGUCAAGACAAAACCGUAACUACUUUGAAGCCCUCUUGUUUUCGUCAGGAUCAACCUGGUGACAGCUCUGCUGGGAUCCACGCAAGAACUUGACAGUUCUACCCAAAGGGUGGCAGUAAAAAAAAAAAAAAAAAAAAAAAAAAA